GAGGUUAUUAAAUAUAUAUAAUUUUUUUCGUAGACAAAAAAAUUAUAGGUUAUAUCGAAAGGAAUCUCUGCCUAUGUCACACUCACAUGACAAUGAAAUAAACUGUUGAACAGAAACGGUUUCCUCUUUCAGUGGAACUUCAACACAAAGAAGAAAGAAUGGAACAGAUACAGCACUCAACAAUUACAACAAAUGGGAUAAUAAACAUGCACAUCGCCUCAAUCGGAACAGGUCCGCCAGUGCUCUUGCUUCACGGCUUCCCCGAGCUCUGGUUCUCGUGGCACCACCAGCUCCUCUCCCUCUCCUCCCUCGGUUACCGUGCUAUUGCUCCGGCUUCCUGCACUGCCCCAUACAUUGUGGGAGCUCUGGUGAGCCUUCUUGACCAUCUGGAUAUCGACCAGGUCUUCUUGGUGGGCCAGGACUGGGGAGCUGUGAUCGCUUGGUAUUUCAGCUUGUUCAGGCCCGACAGGGUCAAGGCCGUCAUUAACUCGGGCAUCGCUUACUUUUUUUUUUUUUUAGGUGAAUAUUGAGCAUCCCUUACUUGCCAAGGAACCCAGCAGUCAAAUUUGUUAAGGGCUUCAGGGCUCUGUUUGGCGAUGAUUACUGUUUCUGCAGGUUUCAGGAACCUGGAGAGGCUGAAAAAGAUUUUGCUUCUUAAGAUACAAGAAUACUGUUCAAGAAAUUCUUAACAACUUUUGGUCCAGUUCCUCUAUACAUAUCCAAAGAAUUAGAGUUCAGAGGUUUAAAAGCUCCAGAUGCUUUGCCCUCUUGGCUGUCGGAAGAUGACAUCGAUUACCAUGCCACCAAAUUCGACAAAACCGGCUUCACUGGAGGAUUGAACUAUUAUCGAUCGUGUGAUCUGUAUGCAUUUUCUUACAGCUAAUUUUACUGAAUAUGACAUAAGUUAUAGCUUAUCAUACAAUAUGGUUCUUUUUUCUUUUCUUUAUUUAUUUAUUUAUUUAUUUUUUGGUAUACAAUAUGUUAGGCAACAGUAAUACAGAGAAAUGGGGAUGACACAAAUCAAACUGCCGGUGAAGUUCAUCCUGGGGGAUCAAGAUCUCGCAUACAAUAUUUCGGGCAUCAAGUAAUAUAUCCAGUGAAGAAAAUAUCGAUGUCGAUAGAAAUAUGGAGGGUAUGAUUUUACUGAAAUGUCAAUGGAAACAUCAAUAUUCAUGGAAAUAUUGAUAAAGUUGUCGAAACUGUAAAUUUUUAAUUUAGAAUACAAAUUUUUAC